rnacentral:rRNA from 1 species
GACGAACGCUGGCGGCGUGCCUGACACAUGCAAGUCGGACGGUUCUUGCACCUUCAAGCUUGCUUGUUGGUUCAAGGAUAGUGGCGGACGGGUGAGUAACGCGUGAACACCUACCCAUUGGAGGGGUACAACCCGUCGAAAGGCGGGCUAAUACCGCGUAAGCCGUGAGGUGAAAGGCUGCUCUUUGGUGGCUGCCGAUGGAUGGGUUCGCGUCCUAUCAGCUGGUUGGUGGGGUAACGGCCUACCAAGGCUAAGACGGGUAGCCGGUCUGAGAGGAUGGCCGGCCGACACUGGAACUGAGACACGGUCCAGACUCCUACGGGAGGCAGCAGUGGGGAAUCUUCCACAAUGGGCGAAAGCCUGAUGGAGCGACGCCGCGUGAGCGAAGAAGGCCUUCGGGUUGUAAAGCUCUGUCUGGAGGGACGAAGGAAGUGACGGUACCUCCGGAGGAAGCCACGGCUAACUACGUG